rnacentral:rRNA from 1 species
UAGGGAAUCUUGGACAAUGGGCGAAAGCCUGAUCCAGCCAUGCCGCGUGAGUGAUGAAGGCCUUAGGGUUGUAAAGCUCUUUCGCCAGGGAAGAUAAUGACGGUACCCGGAUAAGAAGCCCCGGCUAACUUCGUGCCAGCAGCCGCGGUAAUACGAAGGGGGCUAGCGUUGUUCGGAAUUACUGGGCGUAAAGCGCACGUAGGCGGCUUUCCAAGUUGGAGGUGAAAUCCCCGGGCUUAACCCGGGAACUGCCUCCAAAACUGAAAGGCUAGAGUCCGAGAGAGGUGAGUGGAAUUUCCAGUGUAGAGGUGAAAUUCGUAGAUAUUGGAAAGAACACCAGUGGCGAAGGCGGCUCACUGGCUCGGUACUGACGCUGAGGUGCGACAGCGUGGGGAGCAAACA